CACAUGAUAUGAUCUACGUAGUCGGUCUCGGCAAUCCCAAGACAGUCUUCACAGUUGUCGCAUCACUUUUGCGGCAGUAGAAUAAAGAAAGCAAAACGCCGAUCCAAUUGUUAUAAUAGUUGUUAUGAACGCCAGCUUCAGCUACAAGUGGAUUCCAAACAGGCAUCGAGCUAACAGCAAGGACACUCGUAAUGUUUGUAGCUGACAACGCGGACUUUGUGAAUGUGCGAUGAACCGAUGUCGCGCAUGUGGUGUUCGCGUUGUGUGUCGUCCGAUUCUCGGAUACUUUUCACAUUUUCUUCAUACCUCGGCUGCGUCACUAACAUAGGGCGGUUUUUUGUUGACUGAUAUCCUGCACUAUAAACCCAUCAAAGUUUCUCAUUCACUUAAAAUAGGUGCCAAAUUAUCAGAGCCCACCCAGUAUUUCGCCGGCGGUAUGCCUGGGCAGCCACGCAUAUGAGUACCUCAAUGCUGUACUGAUUGCUUUGACCUAUCACCGGAACAGAAAAUUAGCACUAACAUACGUGCGGGCAUCACAUUUGGUGGUACGCUGGAAGAUAUGCUACAAGUACGCUGUAUUACUAAUCGACGCUGGCAAUAAUGCGUCUGAAACCUUUGAAGGGCCCUGUAAUGGCUUUUACAAACAGCGCAUUCAAGUUAGCGUUCCAGUCUCAUACGAUAGCCCACAGCGUUUGUCAUACAACCUGCCAGCGCAUUUCCUUCGUCCACGAAAAAAGAUGAAUAAUGGUGAUAAAGAUGAAUAAGCCACCCGUUCCGGCGCGCAUGGCGCGCAGAGAGAGAGCGAAAAAAAAAAAAUGAAGGAGGAAAAGGCGCUCACACUCCUCCGAGCGCGCGCGCUCUCGCGCGCGGAGCUCCUGCGCAUGCGCGGAGAUCUUGCGCAUGCGCGGCGGUGCGCCAUCUCAACGAGUGCGCCAGGCACGUAUACGGUUGUACCGGUGUGCGGUGUCCGCCUGAACGUUGGUGUCUGUGUAUGCGUGUCAUCUUUGUGGCAUCACACGUCAACUACACUGAACGCAUACACCUGCAGCACCUUUGGGACUAAUGACACAAAGGUCAAGGCCAGCCUGGCGACCAUGCUUGCCAAGGAGUAGUGUAAAUAUUUAAUCUGUUUCCAUAAUAGCAUAAGACAAGAAUUUAAGGAAUUCAUGUAUUAUAUCGAGCAAUAAAAACGGUUAAUGCAUUGCC